rnacentral:rRNA from 1 species
UACGUAGGGCGCAAGCGUUGUCCGGAAUUACUGGGCGUAAAGAGCGCGUAGGUGGUUUGUCGCGUUGUUCGUGAAAACUCACAACUCAAUUGUGGGCGUGCGGGCGAUACGGGCAGACUGGAGUACUGCAGGGGAGACUGGAAUUCCUGGUGUAGCGGUGGAAUGCGCAGAUAUCAGGAGGAACACCGGUGGCGAAGGCGGGUCUCUGGGCAGUAACUGACGCUGAGGAGCGAAAGCGUGGGGAGCGAACAGG